rnacentral:rRNA from 1 species
CAGCAGCCGCGGGAAUACAGAGGGUGCAAGCGUUAAUCGGAAUUACUGGGCGUAAAGCGAGCGUAGGUGGCUUGAUAAGUCAGAUGUGAAAGCCCCGGGCUUAACCUGGGAACGGCAUCUGAUACUGUUAGGCUAGAGUAGGUGAGAGGAAGGUAGAAUUCCAGGUGUAGCGGUGAAAUGCGUAGAGAUCUGGAGGAAUACCGAUGGCGAAGGCAGCCUUCUGGCAUCAUACUGACACUGAGGUUCGAAAGCGUGGGUAGCAAACAGGAUUAGAUACCCCCGUAGUCCCUGUCUCUUAUAC